AAGUGGGGGAGGGGCUGCUCAAGAUGAGGGGGUGUUGCAUAUGGGGUCAGAGAUCAGAAAGCCAUGUGGACUAACUGAAAACUGUACUAGAUAUCAUGCAAGAUGAAGGCAGCCUUGAUAGCAGCCACGGUCCUCACACUUGCGUCUGCUCCCUUCAUAAAGCCAGCUCUCUGGGGAAGCUGAAUGUACCGGUGGUUUUACUUCCCUAUGUCCCCUCCAGCACUGGAGUCAAGGUCAACUUCACUCUGAGCUCCCCUCAAGGUUGCUUCUUUUGGUGUUGGCAAGUCCACCCUCCUCCGCUCUAUGGCGUGUCAUGAGCUGCGUUUACCAGCUGGUGUGAGUGUACUACACGUGGAGCAAGAGGUCACUGGGGACAACACACUAGCACUGGAUAGUGUACUCAAGUGUGACACUGAGAGAGUGCAGCUGCUCGCUAGAGAGGGGGAGCUACUGCAUGGCCUCAGGGAACAAGAACACAGCAGCAGGCAGCGCUUCUGAUGAGCUGGCUGAGGUAUACCUUCCACUACAGGAGAUAGACGCUGAUGAAGCACCAGCAAGGUAACUGUACCCAGUAGAUCAAGUACCAUCUUACACACUGUGCUCACUCACUCACAGAGCUGGCUGUAUUCUGGCUUGUCUGGGGUUCACUCCACAGAAGAAUGAGAUUUUA